rnacentral:rRNA from 1 species
AGCAGCCGCGGUAAUUCCAGCUCCAAUAGCGUAUAUUAAAGUUGUUGCAGUUAAAAAGCUCGUAGUUGAAUUUCGGGAUCAGUUGAUCGGUCGUGCCUCGGUACGUACUGGUCAAAUUGAUUCCUACCUUCUGACGAACCACGAUGUCAUUAAUUUGGUGUCGUGGGAAAUCAGGACUGUUACUUUGAAAAAAUUAGAGUGUUUAAAGCAGGCUCGCGCUUGAAUACAUUAGCAUGGAAUAAUGAAAUAGGACGUUUGAUUCUAUUUUGUUGGUUUCUAGGAUCGACGUAAUGAUUAAUAGGGAUAGUUGGGGGCAUUAGUAUUCAAUUGUCAGAGGUGAAAUUCUUGGAUUUAUUGAAGACUAACUACUGCGAAAGCAUUUGCCAAGGAUGUUUUCAUUAAUCAAGAACGAAAGUUAGGGGAUCGAAGACGAUCAGAUACCGUCGUAGUCUUAACCAUAAACUAUGCCGACUAGGGAUCGGAUGAUGUUAAUUUUUAAUGUACUCAUU